GCGAGGGGAGCCCUAGCACAGGUGCUGCAUGGCCGUCGUCAGCUCGUGCCGUGAGGUGUUGGGUUAAGUCCCGCAACGAGCGCAACCCCGCCGUUAGUUGCCAGCGGUUCGGCCGGGCACUCUAACGGGACUGCCCGCGAAAGCGGGAGGAAGGAGGGGACGACGUCUGGUCAGCAUGGCCCUUACGGCCUGGGCGACACACGUGCUACAAUGCCCACUACAAAGCGAUGCCACCCGGCAACGGGGAGCUAAUCGCAAAAAGGUGGGCCCAGUUCGGAUUGGGGUCUGCAACCCGACCCCAUGAAGCCGGAAUCGCUAGUAAUCGCGGAUCAGCCAUGCCGCGGUGAAUACGUUCCCGGGCCUU
rnacentral:rRNA from 1 species